rnacentral:rRNA from 1 species
AUGACAACCAGGCAUGCAUCACGAUUCAUCUUAGGCACAAAGAAAAAACAGAAAUCUCAGUUCUCUUCAUCAGACGCGAAGUUUCUCCAGCUAGCUGCGCAAGAUUCUACCAAGUUUUUACAGGCUAAUCAUGUCCACCACAUGUCAAAGGGGCACUCUACAAAUUACGAAAAAGAGACACAAUACAUCAUUCUCUACUGUAGCAGGAUUAGCACCACAUCAGCAUGUCAUGGAACUCCUCUUUGCAGGCCGCAAAUACCCCUUUUUCUCAGCGAUCAACUACCGGUGGCUGCAAUCAACAGAAUAAGCACCCGUUACAAAGAGAGCUGA